GCCGAAGUUUUGACUGCCGAACUUCUAAUUGUCACUCGAAUUGUCAAUAUAAUCAUCGGUCUGACCUUCCAGCUGGCUUCUGGAUGUGAUCGGAACUAAAACCACGACAAUAACGGCACAGCAAGUGGGGCGAUAGAUUGCUGCUCGGUCGAAACGGAAGCGGUGACGAAACGCAUGACGGCAAGGCGACCAGUAUGCUCUAAAAUCAAGUUUGCCUUGGACGCAAGUCUGGACAGAAUACCACAGGUCCUAAUGAAACCGAGUACGACUAGUGUAGUGUCGACUCUUGGAGAAUACGUCGUUAUUAAUCCCUGAAGUAAAUCGAAGCAUGAGAUGCAUGGCAAAAUACAUUCCUAGAAAGAUUCGCGAAUUAGGCGAAACUGACAAAAUGUACACAAUUUAAAAAACUAUAGCGGUGAA